ACUGCGAAUGGCUCAUUAAAACAGUAAUAGUUUAUUUGAUAAUGGAAGUCUACAUGGAUAACCGUGGUAAUUCUAGAGCUAAUACAUGCUGUCAAGCCCGACUUUUUUGGAAGGGUUGUAUUUAUUAGAUAUGAAACCAAUAUUCCUCACAAGGGUCUAUUGCGGUGAAUCAUAGUAACUGAUCGAAUCCCCGCACGGGGAUGAAUCAUUCAAGUUUCUGCCCUAUCAGCUUUCGAUGGUAGUGUAUUGGACUACCAUGGCAGUAACGGGUAACGGAGAAUUAGGGUUCGGUUCCGGAGAGGGAGCCUGAGAAACGGCUACCACAUCUAAGGAAGGCAGCAGGCGCGUAAAUUACCCAAUGCAGAUUCUGCGAGGUAGUGACAAUACAUAACAACCUGGGACCUUUCAGGUCUACGGGAUUGCAAUGAGCACAAUUU
rnacentral:rRNA from 1 species